rnacentral:rRNA from 1 species
CUACUGUCUUGUAAUUGGAAUGAUGGUGACUUAAACCCUCACCAGAGUACCAAUUGGAGGGCAAGUCUGGUGCCAGCAGCCGCGGUAAUUCCAGCUCCAAUAGCGUAUAUUAAACUUGUUGCAGUUAAAAAGCUCGUAGUUGAAUUUCAGCGUUUCGCGUGUGCCUCUUUUGGCCCAUCUCGUCUCGCUUUUUUUAUUACUUUGAGAAAAUUAGAGUGUUUCAAGCAGGCUUUUGUCUUGAAUACUUGAGCAUGGAAUAAUAGAGUAGGACCUUGGUUCUAUUUUGUUGGUUUUGUUACCUUGGUAAUGGUUAAUAGGAACGGUUGGGGGCAUUCGUAUUUAACUGUCAGAGGUGAAAUUCUUAG